GUCUUGAGACCCUUGGCCAGCCUCCGAGCCACGUCUGCAUCCAUGUCUGCAAUAAAAGAAGAUCGACAUGGCUCAGAAAUAGAAUGAGAGAAAGAGGAAAUAACGGAUAAAAUAAUAAUAAUAAUAAUAAUAAUAAUAAUAAUAAUAAUAAUACCGACAGGGUCGAGAAGGCUCAGAUCGAUGUUAAAUAAGAGUUGCUCCUUCAGAAGGUCAGAGAGGGGGGGAGCUGGAUAGGUCUCGAGCUUCUUGGAGGCUUCAAGGUCGUCCCUUCCCAGGCUAGAAGCCCGACGGACGGAAUCUCUCAGGGAGCCCCAGGGGGGUAAUCCCAGCUCCAAGGUUGGGCAUCGAACGUAGAAGUACCUCUCUUUUCAGUUAUGGAUAGAAGAGGGGGCACCUUUCAACAACCCCUUUCUACCGAACUGGGGGGAGAAGUACCACCAGUCCUUUGUCGAAGGGUGACGCUUGAAGGUAUAAAAAUUUCUGAACAGAGAAAGGGUUGGCUGGACUUCGGCUAGGCAACAAAGGGAAAGAAAUCCUAUCAAAAAUCUAAAGGAGUUCGGCACUACUGAGACUAGAGAAAUGUUCAGAAAAUGAAAAAGAGCGAUGACAAAAGGCAGAAGUGGAAGUCGAAGUCUGGCA
rnacentral:lncRNA from 1 species